rnacentral:rRNA from 1 species
ACAAGCGGUGGAGCAUGUGGUUUAAUUCGAAGCAACGCGAAGAACCUUACCAGGCCUUGACAUGCAGAGAACUUUCCAGAGAUGGAUUGGUGCCUUCGGGAACUCUGACACAGGUGCUGCAUGGCUGUCGUCAGCUCGUGUCGUGAGACGUUGGGUUAAGUCCCGUAACGAGCGCAACCCUUGUCCUUAGUUACCAGCACGUUAUGGUGGGCACUCUAAGGAGACUGCCGGUGACAAACCGGAGGAAGGUGGGGGUGACGUCAAGUCAUCAUGGCCCUUACGGCCUGGGCUACACACGUGCUACAAUGGUCGGUACAAAGGGUUGCCAAGCCGCGAGGUGGAGCUAAUCCCAUAAAACCGAUCGUAGUCCGGAUCGCAGUCUGCAACUCGACUGCGUGAAGUCGGAAUCGCUAGUAAUCGUGAAUCAGAAUGUCACGGUGAAUACGUUCCCGGGCCUU